GGCCCGUUGGUCAAGUGGUUAAGACACCGCCCUUUCACGGCGGUAACACGCGUUCAAAUCGCGUACGGGUCACCA
rnacentral:tRNA from 4 species